ensembl:snRNA U6 U6 spliceosomal RNA
AUGCUCGCUUCGAAAGCACAUCUACUAAUAUUGGAACGACACAGAGAAGAUGAGCACGGCCCCUGCACAAAAACGGCAUGCGGAUUUGUGAAGUGUUCCAUGUUUGU